rnacentral:rRNA from 1 species
UACGAAGGGGGCUAGCGUUGCUCGGAAUUACUGGGCGUAAAGGGCGCGUAGGCGGACAGUUUAGUCAGAGGUGAAAGCCCAGGGCUCAACCUUGGAAUUGCCUUUGAUACUGGCUGUCUUGAGUUCGGGAGAGGUGAGUGGAAUGCCGAGUGUAGAGGUGAAAUUCGUAGAUAUUCGGCGGAACACCAGUGGCGAAGGCGACUCACUGGCCCGAUACUGACGCUGAGACGCGAAAGCGUGGGGAGCAAACAGG